CCAGCUGGAUCACUGUGAUAACGUCAGCUGGAUCACUGUGAUAACGCCAGCUGGAUCACUGUGAUAACGCCAGCUGGAUCACUGUGAUAAUACCAGCUGGAUCACUGUGAUAACAACUUUACUGAAUCUAUUCAUCAAAUGGUUUUGUCGCAUCAUUCUGCUGUAGCAGGGGUUCCUUUAUCACAUAAAAAAAUGCAUAAAUUAGUUAUAAUAAUAAUAAUAAUAAAGGAUAAGGAAAAUAAAGUCUAGAACCAAUUUUCCCAAAUGUUAUACCGCUACUAAAUAUGUUUCAUAAUUUAUAUGAACCCUUUAAUUAUACAUAUUCUCUUUUACAGAAAAUAUAUAGAUCAAUUGAUUGUGACAAAGUCACACAUUGUAUAAGAUUACUUCCCAAGCACUUCAUUUUUUAAAUUGAACCUUUGUUUUAACAGGGAAGACAUGUGCCCUGUAUAUACAACAUGAACAUACAGUUCCUUCUGAAAGUAUUCAGACCCCUUGACUUUUUCCACAUUUUGUUAUGUUACAGGCUUAUUCCAAAAACGGUUACAUUUUUUAAAAUCCUCAUCAAUCUACGAACAAUACUCCAUAAUGACAAAGCGAAAAUAGGUUAUUAGACAUUUUUGCAAAUGUAUUAAAAUCAAAAAACAGAAAUACCUUAUUUGCAUAAGUAUUCAGACCCUUUGCUAUGAGACUAAAUUAAGCUCAGGUGCAUCUUGUUUCCAUUGAUCAUCUUUGAGACAACUUGAUUGGAGUCCAUCUGUGGUAAAUUCAAUUAAUUGGACAUGAUUUGGAAAAGCACACACCUGUCUGUAUGAGGUCCCACAGUUGACAGUGCAUAUCAGAGCAAAAACCAAGCCAUGAGGUUGAAGGAAUUGUCCGUAGAGCUCUGAGACAGGAUUGUGUCAAGGCACAGAUCUGGGGAAGGGUACCAAAAAAUGUCUGCAGCAUUGAAGGUCCCCAAUAACACAGUGGCCUCCAUCAUUAUUAAACGGAAGAAGUUUGGAACCACCAAGACUCUUCCUAGAGCUGGCCAAACUGAGCAAUCGGGGGAGUAGGGCCUUGAUCAGGGGGGUGACCAAGAGCCCGAUGGGAGCUCUGACAGAGCUCCAGAGUUCCUCUGUGGAGAUGGGAGAACCUUCCAGAAGAACAACCAUCUCUGCAGCACUCAACCAAUCAGGGCAUUAUGGUAGAGUGGCCAGACGGAAGCCACUCCUCAGUAAAAGGCACACGACAGCCCACUUGGAGUCUGCUCUGAUGAAUGCCAAGCAUCGCGUCUGGCAGAAACCUGGCACCAUCCCUACGGGGAAGUUUGGUGGUAGCAGCAUCAUGCUGUGGGGAUUUUGGUCAGCAGCAGGGACUGGGAGACUAGUCAGGAUAGAGGAAAAAAUUAACAGAGCAAAGGACAGAGAGAUCCAUGGAGAAAACCUGCUUCAGAGCGCUCAGGACCUCAGACUGGGGCAAAGGUUCCCCUUCCAACAGGACAACAACCCUAAGCACACAGCCAAGACAACACAGGAGUGGCUUCGGGACAAGUCUCUGAAUGUCCUUGAGUGGCCCAGCCAGAGCCCGAACUUGAGCCCGAUCGAACAUCUCUGGAGAGACCUGAAAAUAGCUGUGCAGCGACGCUCCCCAUCCAACCUGACAGAGUUUGAGAGGAUCUGCAGAAAAGAAUGGGAGAAACUCCCCAAAUACAGGUGUGCCAAGCUUGUAGUGUCAUACCCAAGAAGACUCCAGGCUGUAAUCGCUGCCAAAGGUGCUUCAACAAAGUACUAAGUAAAGGGUCUGAAUACUUAUGUAAAUGUGAUAUUGCCUGGGGGGGGGGGGGUUUGCAAACAUUUCUAAAAACCUGUUUUUGCUUUGUCAUAAUGGGGUAUUGUGUGUGGAUUGAUGAGGGAAAAAACUAUUGAAUACAUUUUAUAAUACUUUCCGAAUGCACUGUAAACAUUAUACCCAAACUAUGUACAUAUACAGUAGUUAAUCUGGAACAUUCUUACGAGGGUUUGAAAACAACAUGUAUUUCCUUUUGCCCAUAUUAGGCACAUGUUUUCAAUAAGUAAGUGAUUCCUGCACAGAUAUCAAAUUCGAUUGUAAUUUUGACACAGCCAGAUCAACAGUCGGGGCAAUAGCAUACAUAAUACUAUCAUACAAAUACAGAUGAAGUUUACCAUUUUGAACCGAUUUACCAAUGGUGUUUAUAUAAAUAGUGAAGAGAACAGGUACCAAAAUCAACCCCCGUGGUACACAAUGUACGUCGAGAAAUUCUGACGUAACCCCAUCAAUCACGAUGACUUGAGUUCUGUCACUAAGAUAAUCAUGAAACCGCGAACAGGCGUCAGAGCUCAGGCCUAUCGAGGACAACCUAUUUUAAUAAAAUAGCAUGAACAACAGUAUCAAAAACGUUUUGACAGGUCAACAAACAAAAUAAGCACAUUUCAUUUUAGCAUUGACAAGCCCAUUAACAACUAAAGUGAUUGUUGUAACAGUGCUCUGCCCAGGCCUAAACCCUGAUUGGUUUACAUUCAGAAUACAUUUCUCAGAUAAAAAAAAGAGCAAAGUUGAACACUCAACGAAGGUUCUAGAAUCUUAUCUCGACCAGGAAGCCUUGAAAUGUGGCGAUAAUGAUUAAGAUCUCUACUAUCCUCGUCCUUAUGGAGUGGCAGCACAAGAUCUGAUUUCCAAUACUUUUAGAAUAUUUCCCGAUAACAACGUUAAAUAACAAAUGGGGGUUAUUGAGCCAACAAUGAUCUGUGCCGCACACUUAAGCAGACCGGGAUCCAAUUGGUUGGCCCCUGUGGAUCUAUUGUUGUCUAUUGCUAGCAAAGCAUCCAGGACUUAUUUCUCUGUAAAUAGCCUAAAAGAAAAUCUUUGACUAUAAAUUCUCUGAUCAUUCAGCAAGUUUCCUCUAUCAUCAUCCAGCCCAAUAUCAUUGUGAAUAGGCUUAGAAGUUCUUGCAAAGAGAGAGCCCGCUGAAAUAAAAUGGUGAUUAAAUGCAUCAAAUUAUGGAUUUUUUUAUAAUGAGGCCAGUGUCUGAUUUAAUUUGUUGUUGCAGAGGAGGAAGUUGAACCCUUCAGGGAUCUUCCAGAAUUCAGCCGGGUUCCCAUUACAAUCCGAAAGUGUGGUUGCAUAAUAAUUUGAUUUAGCCUUUCUGAUUUGUCUUGCACAAUGAUUCCUCAGUUGCUUAAAAACUUGCCAGUCCGGGUGUAAGACUGUGUUCCUGGCCUUGACCCAAGCAUCAUCUCUUUUGUGAAUGACUUCUGAUGAUUCCGGAGUGUACCACGCAUUCGACUGACCUCUAACCCUGAUUUUUUUUUUAAGGGAGCAUGAUUAUCUACAACAGUAUUGAAGACAUCUGCAGAAAGGCUCCAAGCUAAAUCAGGUUCAGGGAUUAGAUGAAAUACAAUCAAGGUCACUAAAAUAAAGAUAAUGUAAAAAAAAGCCUCUUCACUGAAGUUCCUCUUUGUGAUGACACGAAGCUUCGCUUUUUAUAUUCUCACAUCUCUAACAGAAACAACUGGGCAGUGGUCACCAGUGUCUUGGGUGAACACACCAGUAGAAACAUAUUUCUCUGGUGUAUUUGUUAAAAUAAGAUCAAUCAAUCAGAGUUGACUUUGAAGGAUCUUUAGGCUUGGGCCGUGAAGGCUUUGUCACCAGCUGGGUUAGGUUUAGAUCAUUGCACAUGUCUUUUAGAUUGUCUGAAGCCUGCAUUUCCCAAUCAUAAUUUAGGUCACCCAGGAUAAUAAAUUCUGAUUUAGUAAAAGAAGACAAUAAACUAGUUUAACUCCUUGAGUGCACAAAGGUUAGCCAAGGGAGGACGGUAGGCCCCUAUAACAGUUAUGGAUACAUUUUCCCCUAGACAAAGGCUAAAAGAUAGGAGAAAAAAAGUAUUUACAAGGGACAAGGGAUUUCGGUAAAGAGACAGGGACAUUUAAAAAAAUAAUGUAAUGGCCACUCCACUACAUCUACCCUGUCUGUCGGCGCUGAACACAUUACAACCCUUAAUACUAAUAUCAGAGUCCAGAAUUUCCCCAGAGAUCCACGUUUCAGUCAAAACUAGAAUGUCCGGAUUCAUCUGCAUAACCCAGAUCUUGAUGUAAUCCAGUUUAGGAAGUAAACUCUAAAUGUUGAAAUGCAUCAACCCAAGUCCUUUAUGAUUUUAUCAAACCGAGGAGGUAUUCAUCAACUUUAUGGAAUUCACACUUGAACUAAAAGUACUGGGUGAGCAGACUACUGUGGAAUCCUCUUUUUAGCUAACAAUAGCAGAUCUAGGAGUGGAUUCAAAACUAAAUGUUCAAGAAAGCGUACAGUAUUACAUAGAGCCAUUAUUGCAUGGAACUCCCUUCCAUCUCAUAUUGCUCAAAUAAACAGCAGACAUGAUUAAAAAAAAAAACUGAAAAAGCAACACCUCACAGCACAAUGCCUCUCCCCUAUUUGACCUAGAUAGGUUGUGUGUAUGUAUUGAUAUGUAGGCUACGUGUGCCGUUUUUAAAUCUAUGUAAUUCUGUCCUUGAGCUGUUCUUGUCUAUUAAUGUUCUGGAUGAUGUCAUGUUUCAUGUGGAGCCCAGGAAGAGUAGCUGCUGGUUUCGCAACAGCUAAUGGGGAUCCUAAUAAACUACCAAAUAAGCCUGGCAGACAACAGUAGGACGAUAACGCUUAGAAAGGAUGGGAGGUAUUACCUGAGCGGGUCUGCCUCCGAGUCUAUAUCUUAACGCAGCCUUGACAUAUGAAGAUAGGGUCCAGGCUCCAAGAUGGAUUGGGUCCAUCAUCUCUGUAAAGCAUCUUUCUUUUCCAAAAAGUGUCGAAAUUGUCUAUUAAAGUUGUGCUAACAGAGUGGCAGUGACAGCCGCAUCUAUUCUCAAAAAUAAUGAUGUAUCAUGAUGAAUGUGUUUAUUUAUUUAACCCGGUAAAUUGACUGAGAACACAUUCUCAUGUACAGCAAUGACCUGGGGAAUAGUUGCAUGGGGGGAGGAGGUGGAUGAAGGAGCCAAAAAUGCAUGCAUUUUGCGUACCAACUACGCAAUUAUCGGUCAAUGUACGCAGGUACGAGAUCCGAGUUAAAAGUACGCAGAAAUGAAUAGGGCCUGAUUUUUUUUUACAUCGUAAUAAAAAAGAAAUCCACUGAGUAAAUCUAGCAUCCCAAUUCUCGAGCUGCAACACACAGACAUGUACUGUGUUUGUGUCAACGGACAUGGAGAUGAAUACAUUAUUAUUCGACAUAGCUACCCCGGGUCUGCUCCUCCGCCUGUUUGUUGUGAUGCUGAGUUUGCCGGCUGUCAGCUGUACGUGAACACAUGGGACAAAUCCCUUUUCGACUCCGUGUGUUGUGGAAAGGUAAACACUAAUUGUUUCAAGCUAACGUUUUGGGUUGCCUAGUUAAAUAAAGGCUAAAUAAAAAAUGUAAAAACGUUAGCAAACAUAAGAUGGACAUUCAGUGGGCUCUAAAAGGCCAGCAGUUCACUCGCAUUUGCUCGUGAAAGAAAUUAAAUGCAAAUCCGAAAAAUAACUGGUUGCAUUUGUGCGAGUGUGAUAUACAUUUAAUUCUGCGUCCCAUUAGUUGUAUUUUCCACCUAACGUGACGAGGAUCCCGCAACCUGAUAGACUGUAACUAUAAUUAUGAUCCACGUCACAAAAAGCAUUGCAACAGUAUAAUCAAAAAUAAAUAGAAACAUCUUGGCAUUAAAUGGAGUCGGGAGUUUAGAAGACUGCGGGAUGACGAAUGAGUGAGUGUCCGGUAUCAGCUAUAGAGGCAAUGCUUCUAACAUGCCUUUGCACUAGAUUUGAGAUUUUAUCAAUUUCUAAAAUCUGAAAUGAUCUAUACGCUGCAAAGAAAUCCAAUAGGCACCUUUACAUAGGCUGAAACACCGGACUCUUCCAGCGGACAGCGUUCAGAUUCCCUUUGCGGUAGCCUAAUGAAGAUUUGUGUAGCCAGUUUGCGGUCUGUGUCGAUGCGAUCAUUUUGUUUUAGUUUUCAAAAUGAUUUUGCUUUUAGUGUUGAUUAGGAACCGUGUCUAAAAAGCCAAUACUUGUGAGCUGGCCCUAGUGAUUGGCCCUGUUUGAGAGAUGACAAGCGUUCCUCUACAAUAAGGACUAAACUUGGGGCCAAGCCAAGCUGGAUCUGAAGACAUUUUAUGCAGACGUCAGAAACGUAUUUAUCUACUGCAGUAGACUACAUGUUGCUGAAAUGUCCAUUUGAGGAUGUUUGCUCCUCCAGCAUGCAGUGGUUGCUGACAUUGGCAACAGGCAGACUGUCGAGUUCUCAUCCCUCAACUUUUUCAUGGCAAGCUUUCCCUGCAUGAUUCCUGAGGGAACCUCCAUGGAUCUGGUGGAAGAUGAGUUUGGACUCUAUCAGGCAACAACCUUUGAGCAGAACCUGGUCAACAUGCGCAAGGAUCAGACCUGGAGAGAAAUCAGCCCAAUGAAAAGGGGGGUAGCCUGGUCUACUCCCACCUUUCGGCUGUGAUGCUGGGGAUAUAUUCCACAGCAAUGCAGACUGGGAACAAAUAUUCAGUCUUGUUUCCAAGAACAAAACCCAGUACAGAGACUCCCUCAGUACAGACCUGCUGAGUGCCCUCGUUACCAAGAAGGUUUCUAUGAUUGCCAGAGGAACAGUUUUCCACAGAGAAGUCUACCCUGAUGCUCUGCUGCAAGGCUAAAUCUGCUAGCUACCAGGCUAAUCUGUCUAGGAAAUGAUUUCCUGAACAUUUGAAGGUCUCCAGAAGAUUAGUUCUCACCCACUGUUUCCUAUCAUAGCUUUUUCCUUUUUAUGAUGGAUAACAUGUUGAUUUGAUACUCAUGCUCCGCUUCAAACCCCAAUUUGGCACGCGCUACGGCCGUGCAGUUGAAUCUCCAAUUUGCCACGCGUGUCUGGUACUCUAAAAAAGUUGGACAGGGUGACAGCCAGAUUGGGAAUUCAGCCAGGACACCAGAGUUAACAGAUCACCGUAGACUUGGAAGGUGGUGCCACCAAUCUGGAUAAAAUCUGUUUCCCCGUAUGAAGGAAAGUGGUUGGUAAAAUAGGUUGGCGAGGAAUCAGCUAAAAGUCAAUCCACACAGUGUGAUAGUUAGUUAGAUUGAAUCACACAGUUAGUAGGAUCACCACAGUUCCAGGCAGCAAGCCAGAACCCAACCACAGACUAAAAACCAGCCAGCAAUAGGACCCACAAUAAACAAGGAACAAAACAGGCCAGCAUUACAACAGCAAGGAGAGAGCAGUGACUUAGCAAAUUCUGGGGCCCAUCAAAACAGCAACACAAUGGAGGCCAUGUUAACAGUAUGAUAGCCAGGAGAGAAGCACCUUGGAGGGGAUGUAGUUUCUAGUAGAGGCCGCUGGAAGCCGGGAGGGGGGCAAGCGCUACAGAGUAAAUCCAAGUUGUCUAAACAAAGUUUGGCGGUAGUCAAACAACAUCCAAGGCGCAAUGUCAAGCAGCAGUAGGCAGGUGUCUACUCAGAUAAUGCCCCAGUGCAGGUCCCAGUUCAGGCCCCAGUGCAGGUCCCAGUUCAGGCCCCAGUGCAGGUCCCAGUUCAGGCCCCAGUGCAGGCCCCAGUGCAGGUCCCAGUGCAGGCCCCAGUGCAGGUCCCAGUGCAGGUCCCAGUGCAGGUUCCAGUGCAGGUCCCAGUGCAGAGUAGGGUGUCCAAGUAUAUCCAAGUAGGCCUCAAAAGUUUCAGCAGACCUGUUUUGUAUGUCUCCUUAAAAACUCUGCAUGCAAUAUUGAGCUAUUGUCCAAUGUGUUCAUAGUCAGAUUAAACAACGCUAAAUAGAGACAAACACAGCUACAAACAUUGAUCAGAGAAAAAAGACCUGCUUACUGGCAUCUUGGUCAUAGCUCAGUUUGUAAAUGCCAUAGAGAUGAACCAAAGAUGUUCCCAUGUGUAUCCGAGUUCCGUCUUCCUUGGGCAUUUUAACACUUGUUUCUAGCCUAAAGCGUUGUGGACUUACGUGUCAAUGUAAAAAUAUAUAUACAGGGCACUCGGAAAGUAUUCAGACCCUUCCCCUUUUCCACAUUUUGUCACAGCCUUAUUGUGAAAUGUAUUUACCAUAUUUUUUCCCUCACAAUACCCAAUAGUGGCAACGUGAAAACAGGUUUUUAGAAAUGUUGGCAAAUGUAUACAUUUUUUAAACAGAAAUACCUUAUUUACAUAAGUAUUCAGACUCUUUGCUAUGAGACUCAAAAUUGAGCUCAGGUGCUUCCUGUUUCCAUUGAUCAUCCUUGAGAUGUUUCUACAACUUGGUUGGAGUCCACCUGUGGUAAAUUCAAUUGAUUGGACAUGAUUUGGAAAGGCACGCACUUGUCUAUAUAAGGUCACACAUUUGACAGUGCAUGUCACAGCAAAAACAAAACCAAGCCAUGAGGUAAAAGGAAUUGUCCGUAGAGCUCCGAGACAGGAUUGUGUCGGCACAGAUCUGGGGAAGGGUACCAAAAAAUGUCUGCAGCAUUGAAGGUCCCCAAGAACACAUGAUCCUCCAUCAUUCUUAAAGGGAAGAAGUUUGGAACCACCAAGGCUCUUCCUAGAGCUGGCUGCCUGGCCAAACUGAGCAAUCGGGGGAGAAGGGCCUUGGUCAGGGAGUUGAUCAAGAACCCGAUGGUCACUCUGACAGAACUCCAGAGUUCCUCUGUGGAGAUGGGAGAACCUUCCAGAAGGACAACCAUCUCUGCAGCACUCCACCAAUCUGGCCUUUUAUGGUAGAGGGGCCAGACUGAAGCCACUCCUCAGUAAAAGGCUCAUGACAGCCCUCUUGGAGUUUGCCAAAAGGCACCUAAAGGACUCUCAGAACAUUCCCUGGUCUGAUGAAACCAAGAUUGAACUCUUUGGCCUGAAUGCCAAGCAUCACGUCUGGAGAUAACCUGGCACCAUCCCUACGGUGAAGCAUGGUGGUGGCAGCAUCAUGCUGUGGAGAUGUUUUUCUGCAGCAGGGACUGGGAGACUAGUCAGGAUCGAGGGAAAGAUGAACGGAGCAAAGUACAGAGAGAUCCUUGAUGAAAACCUGCUCCAGAGCACUCAGGACCUCAGACUGGAGCGAAGGUUCACCUUCCAACAAGACAAUGACCCUAAGCACACAGCCAAGACAAGCUUGUAGCGUCAUACCCAAGAAGACCCGAGGUUGUAAUCGCUGCCAAAGUUGCUUCAACAAAGUACCUUUGUAAAGGGUCUGAAUACUUAUGUGAAUGUCAUAUUUCAGUUUUUUAUUUGUAAUGCAUUUGCAAACAUUUCUAAAAACCUGUUUUACUUUGUCAUUAUGGGUAUAGAUUGAUGAGGGAAAAAAAAUAUUUAAUCCAUUUUAGAAUAAGGCUGUAACGUAACAAAAUGUGGAAAAAGUCAAGGGGUUUGAAUACUUUCAGAAUGCAUUGUAUACUAUAACAAUAUUUCUGUAUUCUCCCCCUAGCUGGCUAUCAAAACACAUUAUGCAGUCACUCCGUCAAAACACAGCCUUCAAAUUUAUGCUGACUGUACAUGAUUGUUUUCUGAAAACAGAGUACAUUCAUCAUCCAAUCACUCAGUCUGUCUGAUGGCUGUACUUACAUCUCUGACUCUUUUCUAAAUAUCUAACUAAAUCUGUGACUAUUUUCCAGUAUCCUUCGCUCACAAACGGAGUUGUUUGUGUGUGUGCGUGUUUGUUUGUGCGUGGCAUGCAUACUUAUUCUGACAUUAAGUGUGGGACCAUGGCAAGUCUCACUGCAGGACUCCUCUCAGAAAUCUAUUUCUCAAAAUCGUUUUUUUUCAUUCUGUGUCCAUCCAAUCAAUAUACUACCUACUGCCCUCUCUCUCUCCUCCUCCUCCCCUCUCUCCUCCCCUCUCUCUCCUCCUCCUCCCCUCUCCUCCUCCUCCUCCUCCCCUCUCUUUCUCUCCUCCUCCUCCCCUCUCUUUCUCUCCUCCUCCUCCCCUCUCUUUCUCUCCUCCUCCUCCCCUCUCUCUCUCUCUCUCUCUCCUCCUCCUCCCCUCUCUUUCUCCUCCUCCCCUCUCUCUCCUCCUCCUCCUCCUCCUCCUCCUCCUCUCUCCUCCUCCUCCCCCUCUCUUUCUCUCCUCCUCCUCCCCUCUCUUUCUCUCCUCCUCCCCCUCUCUCCUCCUCCUCAUCCCCUCUCUUUCUCUCCUCCUCCUCCCCUCUCCACCUCCUCCUCCUCCUCCCCUCUCUUUCUCUCCUCCUCCUCCCCUCUUUCUCUCCUCCUCCUCCCCUCUCUUUCUCUCCUCCUCCUCCUCUCUCUCUCCUCCUCCUCCCCUCUCUUUCUCUCCUCCUCCUCCCCUCUCUUUCUCUCCUCCUCCUCCCCUCUCUUUCUCUCCUUCUCCUCCCCUCUCUCCUCCUCCUCCUCCCCUCUCUCUCCUCCUCCUCCUCCCCUCUCUCCUCCUCUCCUCCCCUCUCUCCUCCUCCUCCUCCCCUCUCUCUCCUCCUCCUCCCCUCUCUCUCCUCCUCCUCCUCCCCUCUCUCUCCUGCUCACUCUGUGAAUGAUUCCCACAUCCUACUCUUCAGGGGCACUACUUUCCAAUCAAUGCUCUUUACAUCUCUCUCUUUCUCUCAAUACCCCACAUCUACCGCUCCUCUUUCUCUCUAUACCCCACAUCUACCCCUCCUCUCUUUAACACUAUACCCAACCUAUACCUCUCAUCUCUUUCCCUCUAUACGCCACCUCACCCUCUCUCUUUCUCCCCCGGCACUCCAUCUUUCUCUAUAUAUUUAUCUCUCCCUAUCAACCCUUUCCCUCUCUGUCUUUCUGUCAAAUAGCAUUUUAUGUGUCACAUGCUUUGUAAACAACGGGUGUAAACAGUGAAAUGCUUACUUACAGACUGUGGUCCAACCUCUUACAUCUAGGGGUUCCACUAGCGGAACCCCUAGCCAACAGCCAAUGGGAUCGCAUGGCGGGAAAUACAAAAACAACUAAAAUACCACAAUUCCAUUUUCUCAAACAUACGACUAUUUUACACCAUUUGAAAGAUAAACCUCUCCUGAAUCCAACCACAUUGUCUGAUUUCAAAAAGGCUUUACAGCGAAAGCAAAACAUUAGAUUAUGUUAGGAUACCACCACAGCAAAAAAACAACAACACAGCCAUUUUCCUAGCAAGGACAGCCAUUUUCCAAGCAAGGGUCCCAAAGCACAAAACCAGCUACAAUUAUGCACUAACCUUUGACGAUCUUCAUCAGAUGACACUCCUAGGACAUUAUGUUAGACAAUACAUGCAUUUUUUGUUCCAUCAAGUUCAUAUUUAUAUCCCCAAAAAAAACAUUUUACAUUGGCGCGUGACGUUCAGAAAAUGUAUUCCCACCAAAAACUUCCUGUGAAUUUACAAAAAUACUCAUCAUAAACGUUGACAAAAUACAUAACAAUUAUUUUAAGAAUUAUAGAUACAGUACUCUUUUAUGCACCCGCUGUGUCAGAUUUCAAAAUAACUUUAUGUAGAAAGCACAUUGUUCAAUAUUCUGAGUACUGAGCACCAUGCUAUUCAGUUAGCCGUCCAGCCACGGCAUCCACAAAACGCUGAAAUAUGUUAAAAAUAUUAUCUUACCUUUGCUGAUCUUCGGCUGAAUGCACUCAGAAGGUCUCCCACUUCCACAAGAAAUGUUCAUUUGUUCGAUAAAGUCCAUCAUUUAUGUCGAAAUAAAUCAGUUUUGAUGGCGCGUCCAGAUCACCAUUCCAAAAUGCAUCUAUCCACCGUCGACGAAAAGUUAUAAAGUUCCCUCAGCGUUUGUAGAAACAUGUCAAACCAUGUUCAAUCAAUCUUUAGGGUGUUAUUAUAGUAGAAUUUCAAUAAUAUUCCAACUGGACAAUAGCAGAUUCAUUACAAAAGAAAAAUGGCUAAUCCUUCGUGAGCGUGCGCGAGGUGAGGCAAUGACACCAGGUCGACCACAUACUGUUCCGGGUAUUAUUAUAUCAAAUUGUAUUCUAGAAGCCUCAAACGAGGUUCUAAUGACUGUUGACAUCUAGUGGAAGCCUUAGGAAUGCAAUAUGAC
rnacentral:lncRNA from 1 species